rnacentral:tRNA from 1 species
GCGGGGGUCGCAGAGCUAGGUCAACCUGCAUAUGAGGGCUAUAUGCGCGGGACUCAAGAUCCCGUCCCGUAGGGGUUCGUGGGUUCGAAUCCCACCCCCCGCA